GCGCACCAGGCGCGAAACCUCCGCAAUACACGAAAGUGUGACGGGGCCAUCCCGAGUGCCGUCCGCUGAGGACGGCUUUUCCCCAGUGUACAUAGCUGGGGGAAUAAGGAGAGGGCAAGCCUGGUGUCAGCCGCCGCGGUAAUACCAGCUCUCCGAGUGGUGGGGACGCUUAUUGGGCCUAAAGCAUCCGUAGCCGGCUAGGCAAGUCCUCCGUUAAAAUCCAACGAUUCAAUCGUUGGGCUUGCGGGGGAUACUGUCCAGCUUGGGGGCGGGAGAGGCCGACGGUAUUCCCGGGGUAGGGGCGAAAUCCUAUAAUCCCGGGAGGACCACCAGUGGCGAAGGCUGUCGGCUAGAACGCGCCCGACGGUGAGGGAUGAAAGCUGGGGGAGCGAACCGGAUUAGAUA
rnacentral:rRNA from 1 species